rnacentral:rRNA from 1 species
AUUGAACGCUGGCGGCAGGCCUAACACAUGCAAGUCGAGCGGAUGAAGGGAGCUUGCUCCUGGAUUCAGCGGCGGACGGGUGAGUAAUGCCUAGGAAUCUGCCUGGUAGUGGGGGAUAACGUCCGGAAACGGGCGCUAAUACCGCAUACGUCCUGAGGGAGAAAGUGGGGGAUCUUCGGACCUCACGCUAUCAGAUGAGCCUAGGUCGGAGUAGCUAGUUGGUGGGGUAAAGGCCUACCAAGGCGACGAUCCGUAACUGGUCUGAGAGGAUGAUCAGUCACACUGGAACUGAGACACGGUCCAGGCUCCUACGGGAGGCAGCAGUGGGGAAUAUUGGACAAUGGGCGAAAGCCUGAUCCAGCCAUGCCGCGUGUGUGAAGAAGGUCUUCGGAUUGUAAAGCACUUUAAGUUGGGAGGAAGGGCAGUAAGUUAAUACCUUGCUGUUUUGACGUUACCAACAGAAUAAGCACCGGCUAACUUCGUG